CCGAGUAUCCUAAAAACUCAAAAUACCUAAUCUUUAGAAAGUGUCUCCGAAAAUUCUUCAAGUCUGCCAUUGUUAAUGACCUUCUCUCAUGCAUUAAAAUUGGAAGAGAAAGACAGAAGCAAAGGUGGAGAACGAGGGAAUAGUGAGGUUGGAGUAGCGACAAUGCAAAGGUAAUUUGACCAAAUUUAAAAUGUCCUUUUCUGUUGCAUGUGGGUUAUAUUGGGUGGGUUUUUAUACUGUAAAAGAUAUUUAGGAACACAAAUGAAUUGACAUGCAUCUUUAACAGUGUUUGUACAGUAAUUGGUCCAAUGAAAGGUGACAUAAUAAGAUUCUUUUUGUGGAACGGUGGGGUACAAUGUAGGAAGUUGUCCAACUUUCUCUAUCUGUG
rnacentral:misc_RNA from 1 species